rnacentral:ribozyme from 1 species
ACUCGUCAGAGCGAGUAUAAAUAGCUUUUUUAGGCUCUGAGCGUCCUC